rnacentral:rRNA from 1 species
GAUGAACGCUGGCGGCGUGCCUAAUACAUGCAAGUCGAGCGAACAGACGAGGAGCUUGCUCCUCUGACGUUAGCGGCGGACGGGUGAGUAACACGUGGAUAACCUACCUAUAAGACUGGGAUAACUUCGGGAAACCGGAGCUAAUACCGGAUAAUAUAUUGAACCGCAUGGUUCAAUAGUGAAAGACGGUUUUGAUGUCACUUAUAGAUGUAUCCGCGCCGCAUUAGCUAGUUGGUAAGGUAACGGCCUACCAAGGCAACGAUGCGUAGCCGACCUGAGAGGGUGAACGACCACACUGGAACUGAGACACGGUCCAGACUCCUACGGGGGGCAGCCGUAGGGAAUCUUCCGACAUGGGCGAAAGCCUGACGGCGCAACGCCGGGUGAGUGAUGAAGGUCUUCGGAUCGUAAAACUAUGUUAUUAGGGAAGAACAAAUGUGUAAGUAACUAUGCACGUCUUGACGGUACCUAAUCAGAAAGCCACGGCUAACUACGUG